GGUGAGUAAUGUCUGGGAAACUGCCUGAUGGAGGGGGAUAACUACUGGAAACGGUAGCUAAUACCGCAUAAUGUCGCAAGACCAAAGUGGGGGACCUUCGGGCCUCAUGCCAUCAGAUGUGCCCAGAUGGGAUUAGCUAGUAGGUGGGGUAACGGCUCACCUAGGCGACGAUCCCUAGCUGGUCUGAGAGGAUGACCAGCCACACUGGAACUGAGACACGGUCCAGACUCCUACGGGAGGCAGCAGUGGGGAAUAUUGCACAAUGGGCGCAAGCCUGAUGCAGCCAUGCCGCGUGUGUGAAGAAGGCCUUCGGGUUGUAAAGCACUUUCAGCGGGGAGGAAGGCGAUAAGGUUAAUAACCUUGUCGAUUGACGUUACCCGCAGAAGAAGCACCGGCUAACUCCGUGCCAGCAGCCGCGGUAAUACGGAGGGUGCAAGCGUUAAUCGGAAUUACUGGGCGUAAAGCGCACGCAGGCGGUCUGUCAAGUCGGAUGUGAAAUCCCCGGGCUCAACCUGGGAACUGCAUUCGAAACUGGCAGGCUAGAGUCUUGUAGAGGGGGGUGUCAUCCAGGUGUAGCGGUGAAAUGCGUAGAGAUCUGGAGGAAUACCGGUGGCGAAGGCGGCCCCCUGGACAAAGACUGACGCUCAGGUGCGAAAGCGUGGGGAGCAAACAGGAUUAGAUACCCUGGUAGUCCACGCCGUAAACGAUGUCGAUUUGGAGGUUGUGCCCUUGAGGCGUGGCUUCCGGAGCUAACGCGUUAAAUCGACCGCCUGGGGAGUACGGCCGCAAGGUUAAAACUCAAAUGAAUUGACGGGGGCCCGCACAAGCGGUGGAGCAUGUGGUUUAAUUCGAUGCAACGCGAAGAACCUUACCUGGUCUUGACAUCCACAGAACUUUCCAGAGAUGGAUUGGUGCCUUCGGGAACUGUGAGACAGGUGCUGCAUGGCUGUCGUCAGCUCGUGUUGUGAAAUGUUGGGUUAAGUCCCGCAACGAGCGCAACCCUUAUCCUUUGUUGCCAGC
rnacentral:rRNA from 1 species